rnacentral:tRNA from 1 species
GGAGGUAUAGCUCAAGUGGUGGAGCACAUGAAUAGCAUGCUCAGGGUCCUGGGUUCAAUCCCCAGUACCACCC